UUUAUCAUUGAAAAUAACUAAAAUCAUAUCUGCAUUCUUGUUUUCAGAGCCUCUAUUUCUUGAUUGCUUUGGUAGCCAUUUUAGGAUCGGCAAUACUUCAAGAGUCUGCUGCAGCAGAUGUAACGACUGCUAAUAUAUCUACUGAGUUGAUCACAAGUUCGACUGUUGCCGUCAAUAGUCAAAGUCAAGGUAAUGUUAAAGAUGGAGCCACAAGCCCUGUAACAGUUUCGGGUACUACAGGAGUCGGUGGUGAUAAAACUGAAACAACAACUCAAGGAGCUGCAAUAAUCAAACUAUCAGGGGUCUUGCUACUGACCUCUAUACUUUGUGUGAAGAUAUACAUUUAAGAAGCAGCGUUUGUUUGUUUUUUUGUUUUUAAUAUUUUUAUAUACAAGGAAACCUAAAUGGACGAAGCUUUUAUUUAACUCUUAAGCUUCCGGUAUAUUCCAUGUGUUACAAUCUGUCGAUAAUUAUUUUAUCGGAUUUGUUUGUUAUUCAUAGGAUUUCUUAUCCUUAUUCUUUCAUUUUUAUAAUAAGUUAAAACGUUUUGGUUGUUAAAUACACAACUUUAAAAAAAAAUAGCAUGAUGUUUGAAGCCAGAGAUCAAACAGGCAAAUGUCUGUCAAAAUGGUUUUUGAAGGCUUCGAUCGUUGUGGUAUUUGUUAUACUGUUAUUUGUCUACACAUUUUCACUUAUUGUACGCUCUCUGGAUGAAGAGAUAAAAUAAAGACUUUAAAGUAAAAAAAAUAGUAAUAGUUUAAUUAAUGACUAAAAAUGUCCAUACUAUAGUUAUAUAUUAUGACAUUUUCACCUUUAGAGUAAGUUUUAGCAGCAGAGAAAAGAUUUCAUAUAUUUGCAAUGACACUUUGAGUUUCAUAGAAAUGAAUAACAAACUUACAUACAAUCAUUGUUAGUUAGAGUAGCGCAAAAUUUCGCUUAUUGUCUGAUAAAAAGCAUUUAGGUAUUUUUAGACUAAAAGAAAUAAGAACCUAGAACAAAAAAUUAUUAUAAAAGUAACAUUUCGGUGGCAUUUCGGGGAUCAUUUUGUAGCUCAAACAGUUCCGUCCAUUUUCCCGGAGUUCUCAUUUAUCAUAUAACUAAGUGAAUUAGCUAAUCUAAUUUGUUAUGCUAAUGUCAUCUUUCAAACGAUAUGCUAAUACACUAUUCAUGUGAAUAAUGCCAUCCCUAAUGAAGUUUUAAAUAAGACCUAUGUACUAAGCGUCAACGAUGUUUUCUAUAUAACACAAGUAUGCACCAGUUAUUUCUUUCUAAAUCUAUUUGUGUACGUGUGAAUGAAGUAAAUAGAUCUAUGUAUGCAUCUUUGUAUUGUACAAAUCCAAUAAAUAUGUAAAAUCAUAAUAUA
rnacentral:sRNA from 1 species